CACCCUUGGCAUAUGGAGGUUCCCAGGCUAGGGAUCUUAUUGGAGCUAUAGCUGCCAGCCUACACCACAGCCACAGUAAUGCCAGAUCCAAGCCAUGUCUGCAAACUACACCACAGCUCACAGCAACACCAGAUCCCCAACCCGCUGAGUGAGGCCAGGGAUUGAACCUGCAACCUCAUGGUUCCCAGUUGGAUUCAAUUCCACAGCACCACAACGGGAACUCCCUUUGAAUUUUAAUCUAAUCAUGGGAGUGACAUCCCAUUACCUUUGUUAUACUCGGCUGGUUAGAAGUAGUUCAAAAGUUGCAUCCACACUGAAGAGGAUAGGAUUACAUAAGGAUGUGACUCACUGAGGGUUACCCUAGGGUGAAUCCACUUAAAGCCCAGCUUGACCCUUAUAAUCUUUGUAUAUAAAUAUUUGUAAUACUAAAUUUUGUUAGAUAUCAUAGGAAAAUUAUGAGUAUUUACUUAAUAUGACUUUUCUAAGGUGCCCUGAAUAAGUUACCAGUAAAAACUGAACUUCCAAAAUAUAUAGGGUAAAAGGAGUGUUUAGAAUAGUGAUUGGCACAAAGCAAAUAUAUAAUAAUAUAAUUUAUUAAUAUUAUUACCAUUUGUUUUACUAUUGGUAAAUACAUUGGGCUUUGAAAGGUAAGUAUGAUAAAUUACAACAGAGUUUUGAUGAGAGCUAGAAUAGUCCUAUCCACUAUGACAGGACAAAUAAUGGUGGGAUUGAGGUGAGAGAAAAAUUAACAACAAGAAUCUGGACAAAGUCUGAACCUCCUACUGGACUGGAAACACUGUGUGUGCAGAUAACAUUUCACAUAUAUCUUCUAUUCUAUAGUUUGCUUAAUGACACAGAUUUGAAAGGUAGAAAGAAAAUAUUCAGUCAGAAUGAUUAAAAGGGAGAGUUUCACAAAGACAGGUAGGUAGCACUGAGUAUGUCUGGGAUGUGUUCAUAUGAGGGGGUUUAGCAUUUGUCUCCACAUGAGAUGUGAGAGUAGAUAUGUUCCCCAUUUUGGCCAAGGUCAGCUUACUAAGAAAAAAGUGCAAAGGUACCACUCAAAGAUGGGCAAGGAGAAGAGUGAUACCCUGUUCAUCACGUCCCAGGUAGUUAUAAUCACCCCUAAUUAAAAUUUUUCUUCCAGCGUACUUCUUGUCAAGGAGGAGAGUGAAAACAGGCAGUGAAAAUAAAAUGCCCAAAAUAGAAGUUCCGAUUAUGGUUCAGUGGUUAACAACCCAACUAGCAUCCGUGAGGACAUGGGUUCAAUCCCUGACUUCUCUCAGUGGGUUAAGGAUCCAGCAUUGCUGUGAGCUGUGGUGUAGUUUGCCGAUGCGGCUUGGAUACUGUGUUGCUGUGGCUCUGGCAUAGGCCAGCGGCGAUAGCUCCAAUACGACCCCUCACCUGGGAAGAUCCAUAUGUCCUAAAAAGACAAAAAUAAAAUAAAAUACCCAAAAUAAAUAGCUCAAACCAUCAAAUUUGAAACUUUACUAAAUUUCUGUCAAUUCUUACCAUUUUUCAGCAGUUUUCUCCCAGUCAGUUCUCAACACUGAAGAGACAUGUCCUAUAUUGCAAGUUUCUGCACUAUUGAGAUUUUAUUUAUGCCUAUAGAUAUUUCUCAAUUUAUUACAUAUCAUUAGGGUAAUAAGACUAGAAGUAAUGUAAAGAGAAAUCCCUAACUUAGAUUUCCUUGGAGAAUUGGGGAUAGUUAAAGAUCACUGGGUUGCAAAUGAUCUUAGUCUUGAAAAAAGAAUUGGAGAAACAUAACCAAAAAUGUUGAAGAGAGUGUCCCAGAAAGAAGCAUUAGAACGUGCAAAGCCAUGAGUACAUAGAAAUAAAUACUUUAAAAAUAAUUUUAAUGAAUUGACAUAUCUGGAAACAGAGUUAGUGAGUUUUUUUGAUAAUGUGGCAGAGAUAUGAGACUAGAGAGAUAAUCUGAGGUCAAAAUAUUGAUAGUUUUAAGGAGUUGAAUGUUUGUAAACAUAUAAUUAACAAAAUAAGUUAUGUAUUUUACAAACAUCUUAGCGCCCUUAGGGUAAGAGCAGUGUCGGGAGUUCACAUAGGAACAUGGUGAAGCAAUACAAGUAAAUGAAAUGAAGGAAGCCAACACCAGUAGAAAAAGCAAAGAUUGGACUCGGAAGAUAUUUGAGAGAUGAUUUUAACAGCUAUUGGUGGGUAAUUUAUGCCUAGCAAAGGAAAUAAAACUUGUUUCAAACUAUUACAUCCAGUAAGAUGUCCUCUAGCCACAUGUGGCUUUAUACAUUUAAAGGUACAUUAGUUAAUACUAAGUAAAUUUAAAAAUUCAUUCCCUCAGUUGCACUAGCCACACUUCAAGUGUUCACUAGUCAUAUUUGGCCAAUGGUUACCAUAUUGGAAAGCAUAGAUAUUAGAAAAUAAUGUUAUAGCCUAAAUAUCAGAUAUUUAAUGUAUGAUACCUAUGUAUUUGUUAGAAAUAUAUGAAAAAAAUUUAACAUGAGAAAUAACAAUGUUGAUUAUUAUAGAUAUGUUGUAUUUGAGCUAAAUGUGGAUAUAUGUGAAUUUUCUAUCACACUUCUGCAUUGUAUCAAUAAUACUUCAAAAAUACUCUUGCUCAUAUAUCUUUCUAUUUAGGUGAAAAAUUACAGGCUAAAUUCCUAAGUGAAUAUUUGUUAUUAUAGGAGUUUACACAUUUGUGAGUAAUAAUUAUUGCCAACUUAUCCUCCAAAUUAUAUUAUCUACUUGUAAGAUAAACCUUAUUUCCUACAAAUUAAUUUAAACUAUGUAAUAUAAAAAUUAGUUUUUUCAGCAAAGUAUAAAUGUUAUUUUUACAUUUUUCUAAUUUAUAUUUACUAUUGCGUAAUUAUGAGUGAGUCUAAACAACUUUUCAAAAAUGUAUUUUUAAUCCAUUUGUGUGUUUUUUCAGGACUAAUGGUUUCAAAUUUUCAGCCUCUUUUUUGUAUUUUUCUUAUUGAUUAGUAAGAUAUUUUUAUAUAUUAAAAUAGAAUAUUAGUCAUAGAGUUGUGAAUUAAAAAUCAUUUUUCCUACUUAUUUAUUCCUUCGAUCACCUUACAUUUCCUUUUAAUGCUGUUACAUUUACCAAUAUUUCUUUUAUAAUUUCUGGAAUACAAUUCUUGUUGACCUAUAAGAUCAUUCACUUCCUUUUUGGUAUUUAUAUAUAGAUUUAUGCUAAAAUGAUUGAUCCAUAUGGAAUUUAUUUUAAGUAAUGACAAUUUUUUUUAAAUUUUGCUAUAUAAGCACAUGGAAAAAAGAGGGAGAAUAAAGAUGCUUCCUCAGUUUUUUUGCACUUUGUUAUUGAUUUAAGCAACUAAAAAAACCUGGUUUUCAUAUAUUUAUAUGCAUAGGAUAAACAAUAGAAAUCUUAUAUCUCUAAGUGAAACAUUAGAAUAAUUCCUAAUGAAUCUAGGAGAACUUCAAUAGUAUCACUUUUCUCAAAACUAUACUGAUGGAAAUAAAUGACCUAGGUAUUACAAUAAGUCAAAAACAAUUAAUAGAAGUUCACUGGGGGAAAAAAAGAAUAAAGUUUUCACACUUUCAUAUAACAUGGUGGUUAAAUUUGAAAUACAAUUAACAUAAGGAAUUAACCAAUGUAAUGUUUAUAAUCAGAUUACUUUGAAACCUAGUUAUAAAUAAAUUGGGAGAUAGAGUGGGGUUUCAGCUAUUGGAGAAAUAGCUUAUAUAAUAGAAUUAAGAGAAACAAUAAUAUAUCAGAAAAUCGCUAAUUUAAUACUGCUUAUAUAAUCUCUUCCUUGAAAAUAAGUAUCAACUAAUAACCACAAAGUAAGACCUGGUCAAAAGGAAGGACUUGCUGGAGCACUAGGGAAACUCACGGGAGAUUAUGUGCUUCAGCAUCCCAGACUCUUGUUGGUAGACAUGACGUAGCAGGGAAAAACAAAAGCAUACCAGGAACAGGAAGAGUAACUCCUACCUCUGCUUUUUCCCUCAGACCUGUCUAUUGACAACAUACAACAUCAAACCAUUCACUGGUGUUGAGCUGCCCCAUGGAGGCUUACAAGCCCUGUGCUUGUCCAGCUUUAAGACUGAAGAAAGAGCCGAGAGAUAGCAAAAAAGACAUCAACAGUUUAAUGCACAGGGAUCUUACAUGUCUGAAGCAGGGUCCUAGAGUGACACCCCAUAGUGUGUGGUGGAUGAUGGGAAGGAAAGGGGCAGGAUAUGGCAGCAGGCUUCACUGGGGAGUGAGGAUCCUGAGGGGAGAUUGCCAGUUAUAGGAUGAAUUGAUGUCAAGGUGGCUCAUUUGUUACCAGGGAAACUAGUAGAGGGGCCAACCUCUUACUACCCCUUUGAUAAGAAUAAUCACUAGCUUGGGCCUGGGGCAAUAUGUGAGAUCAGCUAUCUGAAUACAGUGCAGGUGAAACAGGCACUGGUCAAGCAGAGGAUAUACAGGGAGCAAGAGAACAGCUAUCUUGAGUGGCCUGACUGUACAAAGGGUGCAGCUCAUUAAAAAAUAACAGGUCAAAGAAAAGUGGAUGUGGAGCUGAGAGGUAGUAAUUUGAUAAUUGUCUUCCACCCCUUUUAUUACUUAGCUUCUUUAUAUAUCCUUUUAUUAAUAUUUGAACUACAACAUAAUACAAGGACCCUUGUUUUCACUGAACAAAAUAUAUCAUUUGUUAUUAUUUGUACAAGGAGAGUUCUCACCCUUUUCCCCAAAUGAGGAGACUGAAUAUUCUGUUGCUUGGAGACUCAUUUUGAAGUUCAUGCCCAACCCUAUGUAUGUAAAAUAAUAAAGGAAGGAGAUGAUAAACAUCAUUGAUAUGUACAAAAAUAGAUUCACAUAUACACACAUGGAAAUUAUGCAAACCUAAAAAUUUUUCUAUAAUUGGUUAUAAAAUCAUGGUGAUGUCAUAACUGGGUUCUCUUACUGCUCUUUCAUAUUUAGUUUGUCCUCAGCAAGAAUCUAAGUUGCUGUUGUGCUUCAUCUGGUGAAGAAGACAAAACUUUCUUCUGAAGUUUUAAGUCCUGGAUCACCCUGCCUUUUGUGGUUGCACUUAACUAUUAGACUUGAGGGAAUUAACAUACAUCCUAGGGAAACUCCUGGGUAACUGCCAUAGUCUUACUUACCCAUUUCUCUUUGCAACAAUGGAACUUCUUUUCAGUAAUGGAAAUUUCUUUUUUUGUUCCUUUAGUGACUGAUAUAAGCAGCCCACAAAGGCCAAGUGGCAGUCUUGUCUCCAAACGCAGUGAUAGCUGGCAGAAGCAGUAUUCCUUGGAACUAAAAUUUUGAAACCAAUAGGAAAAAAAGCUGUCAAAUAAGGUUCAAAAAUUGUGUGCAUGGAUUCUUAGGUAUAAUAAUGAGAAGAGCCACUCUUACUUCUCGAUUCCAGAACUCAGAUACCCUAGUUAUGGAAUAAACAUAUAACCAGAAUAUGUGUCUAUUUCAAUGAGGACAAAUCUCUGCUCCCUCCAUGACAUAAGUCAUCCAAAUGUAACCAAUGUGCCAGGAGGAGGUUAGCUGAGUCCCCUGAGGAAUGGUCCCAUUUUGAGGACUCAGUGUUAGUGUCUGUUAUUGGAAAAUUAGGUACUCAAGCAGCAGUCAUCUGAAGCGGGGCUAUAAUGCUGUAAUGGUUCAUUUUCAGAUAAUACCAGCAUACCUUGGAGAUCCAUUUACAAACUGGGCGCAAGUAUUUUAUUUCCUGUCGACUUGUUGAAUGGAAGUCCCACGAGCCCACAGUGGUAAUAUUAAGGGAAAGGAAACAAUGCAGGUGGAAAUAGUAUCAAAACAGAUUGAGCCAUUGCUUUAUGCAACUUGUGUAGGGCAACAACCCUGCUCCAACCCAUUCUUUUAUAUAUUAGUUCUACUUGAUGAUAGACUACUACCACACAUGUACAAAUUUAUGAAUAAACCAAUCAGACAUGGGAAACUCAGGCUACAUAUUCUUCUGAUGUCACCUUCUGUUUGUUCCCUUACAAGGCCUCAUAGCAAGCCAGAAAGUGUUUCUCAGAGUAAGAAAAUUUGCUUUCAGAGUUCAUAAGUUUUCUUUAAAAUCCUAGAAGCUACCAUUGGGCUUACCAGGAUGCUCUGUACAGCAUCUCUAUUUGGCACAGACACUUGGAACAUCUAUGGGUCUACUGAAUCAUUAGGCCUAUGUGGAAGCAUAACUUAUACUACAGCCUGGGUUUCCUGCAAAGCCAUUUAUUGUUACAGCCCUCACUCAAAUCAGGUAGCUUUACAUGAUUUAGGAAACAUGUUAAAGAAGCACACUCAAA
rnacentral:lncRNA from 9 species